rnacentral:rRNA from 1 species
GACGAACGCUGGCGGCGUGCUUAACACAUGCAAGUCGAACGAAGAGCGAUGGAAGCUUGCCUCUAUCAAUCUUAGUGGCGAACGGGUGAGUAACGCGUAAUCAACCUGCCCUUCAGAGGGGGACAACAGUUGGAAACGACUGCUAAUACCGCAUACGAUCUAAUCUCGGCAUCGAGGAAAGAUGAAAGGUGGCCUCUAUUUAUAAGCUAUCACUGAAGGAGGGGAUUGCGUCUGAUUAGCUAGUUGGAGGGGUAACGGCCCACCAAGGCGAUGAUCAGUAGCCGGUCUGAGAGGAUGAACGGCCACAUUGGGACUGAGACACGGCCCAGACUCCUACGGGAGGCAGCAGUGGGGAAUCUUCCGCAAUGGACGAAAGUCUGACGGAGCAACGCCGCGUGAGUGAUGACGGCCUUCGGGUUGUAAAGCUCUGUUAAUCGGGACGAAAGGCCUUCUUGCGAACAGUUAGAAGGAUUGACGGUACCGGAAGAGAAAGCCACGGCUAACUACGUG